AGCUUUAGGGCUAGCCUCAAGGUGAGAGAUACGGAGGUAGAGCACUGAAUGUCCUAGGGGGUAUUGCACCUACCGAAGACUAUCAAACUCCGAAUGCCGUCAUCUUAUACUUGGGAGUCAGACUGUGGGUGAUAAGAUUCAUAGUCGAAAGGGCAACAGCCCAGAUCGUCAGCUAAGGUCCCUAAAUGUAAGUUAAGUGGUAAAGGAUGUGGGAUUGCACAGACAACCAGGAUGUUGGCUUAGAAGCAGCCACUCAUUCAAAGAGUGCGUAAUAGCUCACUGGUCGAGUGAUCCUGCGCCGAAGAUUUCCGGGGCUAAAACUUACUACCGAAGCUACGGCAUCAGUAAUGAUGGGUAGGGGAGCUUCCCAUACGGGUUGAAGCAUGACCGUAAGGACAUGUGGACAGUAUGGGAGUGAGAAUGUUGGCAUGAGUAGCGAGAUGUGGGUGAGAAUCCCACAGGCCGUAAACCCAAGGUUUCCAGGGGAAGGUUCGUCCGCCCUGGGUUAGUCGGGACCUAAGCUGAGGCCGAAAGGCGUAGGUGAUGGACAACAGGUUGAUAUUCCUGUACUACCGAUAACCGUUUGAGAGAAGGGAUGACACAGUAGGAUAAGCUAAGCACACUGUUGGUUAUGUGUGCCCAAGCAUUGAGGCAGUCAAAGUAGGCAAAUCCGCUUUGAUAAUGCUGGGAUGUGAUGGGGAGCGAAAUUUAGUAGCGAAGUAGCUGAUUUCACACUGUCAAGAAAAGUCUCUAUCGAGGUUAAAGGUACCCGUACCGCAAACCGACACAGGUGGGUGAGGAGAGUAUCCUAAGGCCAGCGAGAGAACUGUUGUUAAGGAACUCGGCAAAAUGACCCCGUAACUUAGGGAUAAGGGGUGCCACCAUCAGGUGGCCGCAGAGAAUAGGCCCAAGCGACUGUUUACCAAAAACAUAGGUUUCUGCUAAGUCGCAAGACGAUGUAUAGGAGCUGACGCCUGCCCGGUGCUGGAAGGUUAAGGGGAUCUGUUAGAGCAAUCGAAGCAGUGAACUUAAGCCCCAGUAAACGGCGGCCGUAACUAUAACGGUCCUAAGGUAGCGAAAUUCCUUGUCGGGUAAGUUCCGACCCGCACGAAAGGCGUAACGAUUUGGGCACUGUCUCAACAACAGACUCGGUGAAAUUGUAAUUCCGGUGAAGAUGCCGGAUACCUGCGACAGGACGGAAAGACCCCAUGGAGCUUUACUGUAGCUUGACAUUGGGUCUUGGUACUACAUGUACAGGAUAGGUGGGAGGCUUUGAAACCAGGACGCCAGUUUUGGCGGAGCCAUCCUUGGGAUACCACCCUUGUAGUACUGGGACUCUAACCAUAGGCCAUGAAUCUGGUCUUGGGACACUGUCAGGUGGGCAGUUUGACUGGGGCGGUCGCCUCCCAAAAGGUAACGGAGGCGCUCAAAGGUUCUCUCAGUACGGUCGGAAAUCGUACGUAGAGUGUAAAGGCAAAAGAGAGCUUGAUUGCAAGACAUACAGGUCGAGCAAGGAUGAAAAUCGGACUUAGUGAUCCGGUGGUUCUGCGUGGAAGGGCCAUCGCUCAACGGAUAAAAGCUACCCUGGGGAUAACAGGCUUAUCUCCCCCAAGAGUCCACAUCGACGGGGAGGUUUGGCACCUCGAUGUCGGCUCAUCACAUCCUGGGGCUGUAGUAGGUCCCAAGGGUUGGGCUGUUCGCCCAUUAAAGUGGUACGCGAGCUGGGUUCAGAACGUCGUGAGACAGUUCGGUCCCUAUCCGUCGCAGGCGUAGGAAAUUUGAGAAGACCUGUCCUUAGUACGAGAGGACCGGGAUGGACGUACCUCUGGUGUACCAGUUGUCCUGCCAAGGGCAUGGCUGGGUAGCUAUGUACGGAAUGGAUAAGCGCUGAAAGCAUCUAAGCGCGAAGCCAACUUCAAGAUAAGAUUUCCCACCGCAAGGGUAAGACCCCAGAAAGACUAUCUGGUUGA
rnacentral:rRNA from 1 species